ensembl:misc_RNA Metazoa_SRP Metazoan signal recognition particle RNA
GCUGGUCGCGGUGGUGCACGCCUGUAGUCCCAGCUACUCGGGAGGCUGAGACAGGAGGCUCGCUUGAGUCCAGGAGUUCUGGGCUGUAGUGCACUAUGCCUAUCGGGUGUCCGCACUAAAUUUGGCAUCAAUAUGAUGACCUCUAGAGAACGGGCAACCACCAGGUUGCCUAAGGAGGAGGAGUUCUAUACCAUGCAUUGUCUGUGCUAAAUUUCCUCAUGUAUGAUGCUACAGGAAAAUCAGCUGCGGAUCGCCUCUGGCAUCCACCAAUGGCUCAAAAUUAUGCUCAAGCCUUAU